rnacentral:rRNA from 1 species
GAUGAACGCUAGCGGCAGGCUUAAUACAUGCAAGUCGAGGGGUAGCAAGAUUGUAGCAAUACAAUUGUUGACGACCGGCAAACGGGUGCGGAACACGUACACAACCUUCCUACAAGUGGGGAAUAGCCCAGAGAAGUUUAGAUUAAUACCCCGUAACAUAGCGAUGUGGCAUCACAUUGCUAUUAUAGCUUCGGCGCUUGUUGAUGGGUGUGCGGCUGAUUAGAUAGUUGGCGGGGUAACGGCCCACCAAGUCUACGAUCAGUAGCUGAUGUGAGAGCAUGAUCAGCCACACGGGCACUGAGACACGGGCCCGACUCCUACGGGAGGCAGCAGUAAGGAAUAUUGGACGAUGGACGCAAGUCUGAUCCAGCCAUGCCGCGUGAAGGAUUAAGGUCCUCUGGAUUGUAAACUUCUUUUAUAAGGGACGAAAAAAGGUCUUUCUAGAUCGUCUGACGGUACCUUAUGAAUAAGCACCGGCUAACUCCGUGCCAGCCGCCGCAGUAACAC